AACCAUUCUCACCUGCGGCUAGACCUGCGGAGGGAUCAUUACUGAGUGAGGGCCUUCGGGCUCGACCUCCAACCCUUUGUGAACACAACUUGUUGCUUCGGGGGCGACCCUGCCGUUUCGACGGCGAGCGCCCCCGGAGGCCUUCAAACACUGCAUCUUUGCGUCGGAGUUUAAGUAAAUUAAACAAAACUUUCAACAACGGAUCU
rnacentral:misc_RNA from 1 species